AGGGCCAUAGCUUAUUAGUCAUAGAACAUCUGCUUGGCACAUAAAAGGUCCCAGGUUCAAUCCCUGGUAGCUCUA